rnacentral:rRNA from 1 species
ACCGACACAGGUGGUCAGGUAGAGAAUACCAAGGCGCUUGAGAGAACUCGGGUGAAGGAACUAGGCAAAAUGGUGCCGUAACUUCGGGAGAAGGCACGCUGAUAUGUAGGUGAAGUGAUUUACUCAUGGAGCUGAAAUCAGUCGAAGAUACCAGCUGGCUGCAACUGUUUAUUAAAAACACAGCACUGUGCAAACACGAAAGUGGACGUAUACGGUGUGACGCCUGCCCGGUGCCGGAAGG